UAUAAACUUUUUCAACAUACAUUUAUAUUUCAGUGCAUACAAUUUCAUAUGAAUAACGCAUGGCAUGCUGCACUUACCGAACGAUGAAUUGGGAAGCGGUUCUCACUGAGCGGCCGCUCGUUCUCCAAAUUGCGUCGCAUCGACGCAUCUGGCGACUUAUACGGACGAGCGCUGCCGACGAGCAGCUGGCGCUGAUUCGCGAGCUCCUUGGUGGACUUCGAGGGGUGGGAGGGCAGCACACCCUGCUCGUCAUCCUGCGGUUGCUCCUCCUCCUCGUGCAAGUCCAAGUGAAGUUCUUCGUUUUGGCCGCCGGUUGCCAAGGAAGACGAUUGUGUGGCGAGUUCAUUGGACUCCGUGGACUCCUUAAACUCCUUGGCCCUGCGACAUUGCACUUUAAAGUCGUUGGACUUCAUUAGCUGGACGGCGGGGCAGGGAUUUUGGGUGCCCAGCCGCUGGCGAUCCUUCUCCAGUUGUUGGCGUUCCAGGGAAAGGAAUUCUUGCAGAUCCAUUUCUAAAUCAACAGAUUUGUGCACAGGCUUAUCAAAAUAGACAAAGUACAUAAUCCAAUUGGCAUAGCCUGCAACUCACCAUAUUGCAAAAUGCUUCAAUUCGCUUUCGCACAUUCAAUGCCAACGCAACAAAGCUUGCUCUGUACUUUUUACGCACUAUUUAAUUGGAUAAAUUAGGCGUUGCUUUCGAAAAAGUUGAAUGUUUUCCGCGUUCUAACAAUGCGAUGUGACCGCAUCUUGGCUACCUGUUACUACCCGCAACAGGCACACUAACGCGUUUAGAAAAUGGUCACCCGACUGCUGUAAAAUUACACACCGGAAACUGUUAUUUCACUGUUAAUUAACAUUUUUGGAUUUAAAAU
ensembl:ncRNA asRNA:CR44600 antisense RNA:CR44600